rnacentral:rRNA from 1 species
GCGGCAUGCCUUACACAUGCAAGUCGAACGGCAGCACGGGCUUCGGUCUGGUGGCGAGUGGCGAACGGGUGAGUAAUGCGUAGGAAGCUACCCGAUAGAGGGGGAUACCAGUUGGAAACGACUGUUAAUACCGCAUAAUGUCUACGGACCAAAGUGUGGGACCUUCGGGCCACAUGCUAUCGGAUGCGCCUACGUGGGAUUAGCUAGUUGGUGAGGUAAUGGCUCACCAAGGCGACGAUCCCUAGCUGGUUUGAGAGGAUGAUCAGCCACACUGGAACUUAGACACGGUCCAGACUCCUACGGGAGGCAGCAGUGGGGAAUAUUGGACAAUGGGCGCAAGCCUGAUCCAGCCAUGCCGCGUGUGUGAAGAAGGCCUUCGGGUUGUAAAGCACUUUCGGUAGGGAGGAAGGGUUAAGUGUUAAUAGUACUUAACUUUGACGUUACCUACAGAAGAAGCACCGGCUAACUCUGUGCCAGCCGCCGCAGUAAGAC